UACGUAGGCAGCAAGCGUUGUUCGGAGUUACUGGGCGUAAAGGGUGUGUAGGCGGUUCUUUAAGUUUGCUGUGAAAUCUCCCGGCUUAACCGGGAGGGUGCGGUGAAUACUGAGGGACUAGAGUACGGGAGAGGAAAGUGGAAUUCCUGGUGUAGCGGUGAAAUGCGUGAGAGUAUCAGGAGGAACACCGGUGGCGAAGGCGGGGUCUCUGGGCCGAUACUGACGCUGAGGAGCGAAAGCGUGGGGAGCGAACAGG
rnacentral:rRNA from 1 species